CGAGCGAGUCUGCCUUGAAGAUCGGAGUGCUUGCACUCUGUGAAACAAGAUACAGGCUAGCGGCGGACGGGUGAGUAACACGUGGGUAACCUGCCCAAGAGAUCGGGAUAACACCUGGAAACAGAUGCUAAUACCGGAUAACAACAGAUGAUGCCUAUCAACUGUUUAAAAGAUGGUUCUGCUAUCACUCUUGGAUGGACCUGCGGUGCAUUAGCUAGUUGGUAGGGUAACGGCCUACCAAGGCGAUGAUGCAUAGCCGAGUUGAGAGACUGAUCGGCCACAUUGGGACUGAGACACGGCCCAAACUCCUACGGGAGGCAGCAGUAGGGAAUCUUCCACAAUGGACGCAAGUCUGAUGGAGCAACGCCGCGUGAGUGAAGAAGGGUUUCGGCUCGUAAAGCUCUGUUGUUGGUGAAGAAGGACAGGGGUAGUAACUGACCUUUGUUUGACGGUAAUCAAUUAGAAAGUCACGGCUAACUACGUGCCAGCAGCCGCGGUAAUACGUAGGUGGCAAGCGUUGUCCGGAUUUAUUGGGCGUAAAGCGAGUGCAGGCGGCUCGAUAAGUCUGAUGUGAAAGCCUUCGGCUCAACCGGAGAAUUGCAUCAGAAACUGUCGAGCUUGAGUACAGAAGAGGAGAGUGGAACUCCAUGUGUAGCGGUGAAAUGCGUAGAUAUAUGGAAGAACACCGGUGGCGAAGGCGGCUCUCUGGUCUGUUACUGACGCUGAGGCUCGAAAGCAUGGGUAGCGAACAGGA
rnacentral:rRNA from 1 species